rnacentral:rRNA from 1 species
UGCGUGGGUGGUUGUUUAAGUCUGUUGUGAAAGCCCUGGGCUCAACCUGGGAACUGCAGUGGAAACUGGACGACUAGAGUGUGGUAGAGGGUAGCGGAAUUCCUGGUGUAGCAGUGAAAUGCGUAGAGAUCAGGAGGAACAUCCAUGGCGAAGGCAGCUACCUGGACCAACACUGACACUGAGGCACGAAAGCGUGGGGAGCAAACA